CUUCCGCUUCCUUCGAUGUUCUGGCAGAGAUGUGGAGCUGCUGGAAACGUGCUUCCUGCACAGGCAUGGCCUGUGAGGACACUUCCUACAUCAGGUCCUCUGAUGUGAACCCCGCAGUGUUCAGAGUGGCUUAAAUUCAGAGGCUAAAGUUGGAGUUGUUUCAGAAGGAAGUGAUGCCAAAUCAGCACGGACUUCCACCAAAUGCUUGGGGAGGAAGGCAGUCGAGAAAGUUUCAAGGUGACUUGAUGACUGCUUCAGCAGCUCCAUGGAGGCUUUCCUCUUUGAAGGUAGCUGAAGUUUGGACUCCAGAUGCUGCCAUCACCAUCCCAGCUGUUUGUCCAGGACAGAGCUGCCUGUCAAAGCUGUGAGCUGGACGCAAGCCCUAGCUUUAAACACCAGAUCGUCGGUUCAGUCAGUUCAUGCUGGUUUCUUGUUUGAGGCAAUGGAGUCAUGUGGUCUGUCCAGCACCUCAUGUCAUGAGACUGACAUUGCGCACAGUCAUGAUGAUUGGCCGCUACGUGCCACAUCGUGAUGAUCUCCUGUGGGCUGCCACCAAGAUGACUGCAGUUUGAACUACACUGGAAUUGUGUGGACACCUGUGAUAAUGUUUACAUUUGUGGGGUUCUGUCACUUAAAAUUUGCAGUAACAAAACAAUAAAGUGUUUAAACUUUA